rnacentral:rRNA from 1 species
ACUACAUGAAGCUGGAAUCGCUAGUAAUCGUAGAUCAGCAUGCUACGGUGAAUACGUUCCCGGGUCUUGUACACACCGCCCGUCACACCACGAGAGUUUGUAACACCCGAAGCCGGUGGAGUAACCAUUUGGAGCUAGCCGUCGAAGGUGGGACAAAUGAUUGGGGUGAAGUCGUAACAAGGUAGCCGUAUCGGAAGGUGCGGCUGGAUCACCUCCUUUCUAAGGA